GGUUAAGCGACUAAGCGUACACGGUGGAUGCCCUGGCAGUCAGAGGCGAUGAAGGACGUGCUAAUCUGCGAUAAGCGUCGGUAAGGUGAUAUGAACCGUUAUAACCGGCGAUUUCCGAAUGGGGAAACCCAGUGUGUUUCGACACACUAUCAUUAACUGAAUCCAUAGGUUAAUGAGGCGAACCGGGGGAACUGAAACAUCUAAGUACCCCGAGGAAAAGAAAUCAACCGAGAUUCCCCCAGUAGCGGCGAGCGAACGGGGAGGAGCCCAGAGCCUGAAUCAGUGUGUGUGUUAGUGGAAGCGUCUGGAAAGGCGCGCGAUACAGGGUGACAGCCCCGUACACAAAAAUGCACAUACUGUGAGCUCGAUGAGUAGGGCGGGACACGUGGUAUCCUGUCUGAAUAUGGGGGGACCAUCCUCCAAGGCUAAAUACUCCUGACUGACCGAUAGUGAACCAGUACCGUGAGGGAAAGGCGAAAAGAACCCCGGCGAGGGGAGUGAAAAAGAACCUGAAACCGUGUACGUACAAGCAGUGGGAGCCUCUUUUAUGGGGUGACUGCGUACCUUUUGUAUAAUGGGUCAGCGACUUAUAUUCUGUAGCAAGGUUAACCGAAUAGGGGAGCCGAAGGGAAACCGAGUCUUAACUGGGCGUUAAGUUGCAGGGUAUAGACCCGAAACCCGGUGAUCUAGCCAUGGGCAGGUUGAAGGUUGGGUAACACUAACUGGAGGACCGAACCGACUAAUGUUGAAAAAUUAGCGGAUGACUUGUGGCUGGGGGUGAAAGGCCAAUCAAACCGGGAGAUAGCUGGUUCUCCCCGAAAGCUAUUUAGGUAGCGCCUCGUGAACUCAUCUCCGGGGGUAGAGCACUGUUUCGGCAAGGGGGUCAUCCCGACUUACCAACCCGAUGCAAACUGCGAAUACCGGAGAAUGUUAUCACGGGAGACACACGGCGGGUGCUAACGUCCGUCGUGAAGAGGGAAACAACCCAGACCGCCAGCUAAGGUCCCAAAGUCAUGGUUAAGUGGGAAACGAUGUGGGAAGGCCCAGACAGCCAGGAUGUUGGCUUAGAAGCAGCCAUCAUUUAAAGAAAGCGUAAUAGCUCACUGGUCGAGUCGGCCUGCGCGGAAGAUGUAACGGGGCUAAACCAUGCACCGAAGCUGCGGCAGCGACACUAUGUGUUGUUGGGUAGGGGAGCGUUCUGUAAGCCUGUGAAGGUGUACUGUGAGGUAUGCUGGAGGUAUCAGAAGUGCGAAUGCUGACAUAAGUAACGAUAAAGCGGGUGAAAAGCCCGCUCGCCGGAAGACCAAGGGUUCCUGUCCAACGUUAAUCGGGGCAGGGUGAGUCGACCCCUAAGGCGAGGCCGAAAGGCGUAGUCGAUGGGAAACAGGUUAAUAUUCCUGUACUUGGUGUUACUGCGAAGGGGGGACGGAGAAGGCUAUGUUGGCCGGGCGACGGUUGUCCCGGUUUAAGCGUGUAGGCUGGUUUUCCAGGCAAAUCCGGAAAAUCAAGGCUGAGGCGUGAUGACGAGGCACUACGGUGCUGAAGCAACAAAUGCCCUGCUUCCAGGAAAAGCCUCUAAGCAUCAGGUAACAUCAAAUCGUACCCCAAACCGACACAGGUGGUCAGGUAGAGAAUACCAAGGCGCUUGAGAGAACUCGGGUGAAGGAACUAGGCAAAAUGGUGCCGUAACUUCGGGAGAAGGCACGCUGAUAUGUAGGUGAAGUCCCUCGCGGAUGGAGCUGAAAUCAGUCGAAGAUACCAGCUGGCUGCAACUGUUUAUUAAAAACACAGCACUGUGCAAACACGAAAGUGGACGUAUACGGUGUGACGCCUGCCCGGUGCCGGAAGGUUAAUUGAUGGGGUCAGCGCAAGCGAAGCUCUUGAUCGAAGCCCCGGUAAACGGCGGCCGUAACUAUAACGGUCCUAAGGUAGCGAAAUUCCUUGUCGGGUAAGUUCCGACCUGCACGAAUGGCGUAAUGAUGGCCAGGCUGUCUCCACCCGAGACUCAGUGAAAUUGAACUCGCUGUGAAGAUGCAGUGUACCCGCGGCAAGACGGAAAGACCCCGUGAACCUUUACUAUAGCUUGACACUGAACAUUGAGCCUUGAUGUGUAGGAUAGGUGGGAGGCUUAGAAGUGUGGACGCCAGUCUGCAUGGAGCCGACCUUGAAAUACCACCCUUUAAUGUUUGAUGUUCUAACGUUGACCCGUGAUCCGGGUUGCGGACAGUGUCUGGUGGGUAGUUUGACUGGGGCGGUCUCCUCCUAAAGAGUAACGGAGGAGCACGAAGGUUGGCUAAUCCUGGUCGGACAUCAGGAGGUUAGUGCAAUGGCAUAAGCCAGCUUGACUGCGAGCGUGACGGCGCGAGCAGGUGCGAAAGCAGGUCAUAGUGAUCCGGUGGUUCUGAAUGGAAGGGCCAUCGCUCAACGGAUAAAAGGUACUCCGGGGAUAACAGGCUGAUACCGCCCAAGAGUUCAUAUCGACGGCGGUGUUUGGCACCUCGAUGUCGGCUCAUCACAUCCUGGGGCUGAAGUAGGUCCCAAGGGUAUGGCUGUUCGCCAUUUAAAGUGGUACGCGAGCUGGGUUUAGAACGUCGUGAGACAGUUCGGUCCCUAUCUGCCGUGGGCGCUGGAGAACUGAGGGGGGCUGCUCCUAGUACGAGAGGACCGGAGUGGACGCAUCACUGGUGUUCGGGUUGUCAUGCCAAUGGCACUGCCCGGUAGCUAAAUGCGGAAGAGAUAAGUGCUGAAAGCAUCUAAGCACGAAACUUGCCCCGAGAUGAGUUCUCCCUGACCCUUUAAGGGUCCUGAAGGAACGUUGAAGACGACGACGUUGAUAGGCCGGGUGUGUAAGCGCAGCGAUGCGUUGAGCUAACCGGUACUAAUGAACCGUGAGGCUUAACCUU
rnacentral:rRNA from 1 species